UGGUUCAGCUGUGGCUUCACGCUGUCCUCUCCAGCAGCUCUGGCCAUGUUCCCAGACGUGCAGGAGCGGACGGUCUCCUCCGCUUUAAUGGCAGGUGUACAGCCGGCGUGCUUCACUGAACUUCCAAAGACCCCUAUCUUCUCGUCUCUGUGGGCCAACCCUCCACCAGCUAUUUGUCAAAAGCAGAUGUUCGAAAGAGACGUGACCUCCUAGUGUGGUUGCUGGGGAAUGGGGAGCUUGGCGCCAGUUCUGAUUGGAAGCCUGCCGAGCAGAGGGGCCAUGGUCAAGGGUCGUAAACGGAAGAUUUUGAGGCAGGAGCUGAUGAUGAAUGUAUUCCCUGGACUUGAUUCAGCUGUUUCUCCAUCUGGCGCUGAAGCACCUAGG